UACAGAGGGGGCGAGCGUUGUUCGGAAUUACUGGGCGUAAAGGGCGCGUAGGCGGCCAACUAAGUCAGACGUGAAAUCCCUCGGCUCAACCGGGGAACUGCGUCUGAUACUGGAUGGCUUGAAUUCGGGAGAGGGAUGCGGAAUUCCAAGGUGUAGCGGUGAAAUGCGUAGAUAUCUGGAGGAACACCGGUGGCGAAGGCGGCAUCCUGGACCGAGAUUGACGCUGAUGCGCGAAAGCCAGGGGAGCAAACGGG
rnacentral:rRNA from 1 species